rnacentral:rRNA from 1 species
UACGUAGGGGGCAAGCGUUGUCCGGAUUCAUUGGGCGUAAAGAGCUCGUAGGCGGUGUGUCACGUCGGCCGUGAAAACCUGGGGCUUAACUCUGGGCGUGCGGUCGAUACGGGCAUCACUAGAGUUCGGCAGGGGAGACUGGAAUUCCUGGUGUAGCGGUGAAAUGCGCAGAUAUCAGGAGGAACACCGGUGGCGAAGGCGGGUCUCUGGGCCGAUACUGACGCUGAGGAGCGAAAGCAUGGGGAGCGAACAGG